AUUGAACGCUGGCGGCAGGCCUAACACAUGCAAGUCGGACGGUAGCACAGAGGAGCUUGCUCCUCGGGUGACGAGCGGCGGACGGGUGAGUAAUGUCUUGGGAUCUGCCCGAUAGAGGGGGCUAACCACUGGAAACGGAGGCUAAUACCGCAUAACGGCGCAAGACCAAAGAGGAGGACCUCAGCGCCGCCCACAAACGGAGUAACACAGAUGGGAUUAGCUAGUCGGCGGGGUAAUGGCCCACCUAGGCGACGAUCCCUAGCUGGUCUGAGAGGAUGACCAGCCACACUGGAAAUGAGACAAGGUCCAGAAUCCUACGGGAGGCAGCAGUGGGGAAUAUUGGACAAUGGGCGCAAGCCUGAUGCAGCCAUGCCGCGUGUAUGAAGAAGGCCUUCGGGUUGUAAAGUACUUACAGCGGGGAGGAAGGCGAUAAGGUUAAUAACCUUGUCGAUUGACGUUACCCGCAGAAGAAGCACCGGCUAACUCCGUGCCAGCCGCCGCGGUAA
rnacentral:rRNA from 1 species